rnacentral:rRNA from 1 species
UUUCGCAAUGCCCGAAAGGGUGACGAAGCGACGCCGCGUGGGUGAGGAAGGCCUUCGGGUUGUAAAGCCCUGUCAGGAGUUAAGAAAUGUAAGUGCGCUAAUACCGCAUUUAUUUGACGAAGGCUCCAAAGGAAGUCACGGCUAACUCUGUGCCAGCAGCCGCGGUAAUACAGAGGUGGCAAGCGUUGUUCGGAAUUAUUGGGCGUAAAGAGCACGUAGGUGGGUUUGUAAGUCAGAUGUGAAAGCCUCCUGUUCAACGGGAGAAUUGCAUCUGAAACUACAGAUCUUGAGUGUAGGAGGGGAGAAUGGAACUCCUGGUGGAGCGGUGAAAUGCGUAGAUAUCAGAAGGAACGCCGGCGGCGAAAGCGAUUCUCUGGCCUAUUACUGACACUCAGUGUGCGAAAGCUAGGGUAGCAAACGGGAUUAGAUACCCCGGUAGUCCUAGCCGUAAACGAUGGGCACUAAGUAGAGGGGUUUUA